rnacentral:rRNA from 1 species
AUUGAACGCUAGCGGGAUGCUUUACACAUGCAAGUCGAACGGCAGCGCGAACUUCGGUUUGGCGGCGAGUGGCGAACGGGUGAGUAAUAUAUCGGAACGUACCCAGUAGCGGGGGAUAACUACUCGAAAGAGUAGCUAAUACCGCAUACGCCCUAAGGGGGAAAGGGGGGAUCUUCGGACCUCUCACUAUUGGAGCGGCCGAUAUCGGAUUAGCUAGUUGGUGGGGUAAAGGCUCACCAAGGCGACGAUCCGUAGCUGGUUUGAGAGGACGACCAGCCACACUGGGACUGAGACACGGCCCAGACUCCUACGGGAGGCAGCAGUGGGGAAUUUUGGACAAUGGACGCAAGUCUGAUCCAGCCAUUCCGCGUGCAGGAUGAAGGCCCUCGGGUUGUAAACUGCUUUUGUACGGAACGAAAAGGUUUCUCUUAAUACGAGGAGCUCAUGACGGUACCGUAAGAAUAAGCACCGGCUAACUACGUG